AGCCUGGGUCUCCAAGCAUCGGCAGCGAAGAUCCCCCAAAACCCUCCUCGUAGUGUCAGCUGCCCCUCUGCUGGAUCAACCUGGCCAGGAAACAUCCCAAGGCACCAAGACCCCUCCGGGACCCCCAGCAGAGCCCCCCAGCUGCUCACCCACCCCCAGCUCCCCAGCAAGCCCCAUCACGACGCCGUGCUGAGCCCAGGGGGGGUGGAAAUCCCCAGGCCCCCGGGUGCCGGCUGUGCACGCUCCGUGGGCAGCCCCACCGAGCGCACCUGGCUGCUCUCGCCCCGAAUUCGCUGCCAGCUUUGCCCAACAAACCUCCCGGCUCCGGCAUUCCUGGCGGGGAAAGCAGGGAAAGGUUCAAAUGGAUGUUGGCUGGGAAAAGGGGGGGGAGAA